rnacentral:rRNA from 1 species
GUUUUCCUACGGGACGCAGCAGUGGGGGAUAUUGCACAAUGGGGGGAACCCUGAUGCAGCGACGCCGCGUGGGUGAAGAAGUAUUUCGGUAUGUAAAGCCCUAUCGGCAGGGAAGAAAUUGGACGGUACCUGACUAAGAAGCCCCGGCUAACUACGUGCCAGCAGCCGCGGUAAUACGUAGGGGGCAAGCGUUAUCCGGAUUUACUGGGUGUAAAGGGAGCGUAGACGGCAGCGCAAGUCUGGAGUGAAAUCCCGGGGCUCAACCCCGGAACUGCUUUGGAAACUGCGCGGCUCGAGUGCAGGAG